rnacentral:rRNA from 1 species
GAUGAACGCUGGCGGCGUGCCUAAUACAUGCAAGUCGAGCGAACAGACGAGGAGCUUGCUCCUCUGACGUUAGCGGCGGACGGGUGAGUAACACGUGGAUAACCUACCUAUAAGACUGGGAUAACUUCGGGAAACCGGAGCUAAUACCGGAUAAUAUAUUGAACCGCAUGGUUCAAUAGUGAAAGACGGUUUUGCUGUCACUUAUAGAUGGAUCCGCGCCGCAUUAGCUAGUUGGUAAGGUGACGGCUUACCAAGGCAACGAUGCGUAGCCGACCUGAGAGGGUGAUCGGCCACACUGGAACUGAGACACGGUCCAGACUCCUACGGGAGGCAGCAGUAGGGAAUCUUCCGCAAUGGGCGAAAGCCUGACGGAGCAACGCCGCGUGAGUGGUGAAGGUCUUCGGAUCGUAAAACUCUGUUAUUAGGGAAGAACAAAUGUGUAAGUAACUAUGCACGUCUUGACGGUACCUAAUCAGAAAGCCACGGCUAACUACGUG